rnacentral:rRNA from 1 species
ACUCCUACGGGAGGCAGCAGUGGGGAAUAUUGCACAAUGGGCGCAAGCCUGAUGCAGCCAUGCCGCGUGUGUGAAGAAGGCCUUCGGGUUGUAAAGCACUUUCAGUUGUGAGGAAGGUGGUGUCGUUAAUAGCGGCAUCAUUUGACGUUAGCAACAGAAGAAGCACCGGCUAACUCCGUGCCAGCAGCCGCGGUAAUACGGAGGGUGCGAGCGUUAAUCGGAAUUACUGGGCGUAAAGCGCAUGCAGGUGGUUUGUUAAGUCAGAUGUGAAAGCCCGGGGCUCAACCUCGGAACUGCAUUUGAAACUGGCAGACUAGAGUACUGUAGAGGGGGGUAGAAUUUCAGGUGUAGCGGUGAAAUGCGUAGAGAUCUGAAGGAAUACCGGUGGCGAGGCGGCCCCCUGGACAGAUAC